GAUGAACGCUAGCGGCAGGCCUAACACAUGCAAGUCGAGGGGUAACGGGGAGUGCUUGCACUCUGCCGACGACCGGCGCACGGGUGCGGAACGCGUAUGGAACCUGCCCCUGUCAGGGGAAUAGCCCAGAGAAAUUUGGAUUAAUGCCCCAUGGUAUCGGAGUGGCACAUGUUGCUUCGAUUAAAGAUUUAUCGGACAGGGAUGGCCAUGCGUACCAUUAGCUUGUUGGUGAGGUAACGGCUUACCAAGGCAACGAUGGUUAGGGGCCCUGAGAGGGGGAUCCCCCACACUGGUACUGAGACACGGACCAGACUCCUACGGGAGGCAGCAGUGAGGAAUAUUGGACAAUGGGCGGGAGCCUGAUCCAGCCAUGCCGCGUGCAGGAUGACUGCCCUAUGGGUUGUAAACUGCUUUUAUACGGGAAGAAACGCGACCACGUGUGGUCGUUUGACGGUACCGUAAGAAUAAGGACCGGCUAACUCCG
rnacentral:rRNA from 1 species